GACGAACGCUGGCGGCGUGGAUUAGGCAUGCAAGUCGAACGGUAUGGACCUUUCGGGGUUCAGAGAGUGGCGAACGGGUGAGUAACACGUAGGUAAUCUACCCUCAAGACGGGGACAACCCAGGGAAACUUGGGCUAAUACCGGAUGUGUGUAGUGGCUAUUUUUCUGAUUAUCAUUAUUUACGUAAGUGAGUAAUAAUAAGAAGGGAAAGUGGUUAUUACAUAAAAGGUGGCGUAAGCUGCCGCUUGGGGAUGAGCCUGCGUCCUAUUAGUUAGUUGGUGAGGUAACGGCUUACCAAGGCGAUGAUAGGUAGGCGGCCUUAACGGGUGGUCGCCCACACUGGGAUUGAGAUACGGCCCAGACUCCUACGGGAGGCAGCAGUCGAGAAUAGUCUACAAUGGACGGAAGUCUGAUAGUGCGACGCCGCGUGAACGAAGAAUCCCUUCGGGGUGUAAAGUUCUUUUAUACGUGAGCAGUGUCCUUUAUAUUAAUAGUAUAAGGGGAGAGAUAUUAGCGUAUGAAUAAGCUAACGG
rnacentral:rRNA from 1 species